rnacentral:rRNA from 1 species
GAGUUUGAUCCUGGCUCAGGAUGAACGCUAGCGGCAGGCUUAACACAUGCAAGUCGAGGGGCAUCGGGAGGGAAGCUUGCUUUCCUUGCCGGCGACCGGCGCACGGGUGAGUAACACGUAUGCAACCUGCCCUCUUCAGGGGGACAACCUUCCGAAAGGGAGGCUAAUCCCGCGUAUAUCGGUUUCGGGCAUCCGAGAUCGAGGAAAGAUUCAUCGGAAGAGGAUGGGCAUGCGGCGCAUUAGCUAGACGGCGGGGUAACGGCCCACCGUGGCGACGAUGCGUAGGGGUUCUGAGAGGAAGGUCCCCCACACUGGUACUGAGACACGGACCAGACUCCUACGGGAGGCAGCAGUGAGGAAUAUUGGUCAAUGGGAGAGAUCCUGAACCAGCCAAGCCGCGUGAGGGAAGACGGCCCUAUGGGUUGUAAACCUCUUUUGUCGGAGAACAAAACCCGGGACGAGUCCCGGACUGCGUGUAUCCGAAGAAAAAGCAUCGGCUAACUCCGUGCCAGCAGCCGCGGUAAUACGGAGGAUGCGAGCGUUAUCCGGAUUUAUUGGGUUUAAAGGGUGCGUAGGCGGUCCGUUAAGUCAGCGGUAAAAUUGCGGGGCUCAACCCCGUCGAGCCGUUGAAACUGGCAGACUUGAGUUGGCGAGAAGUACGCGGAAUGCGCGGUGUAGCGGUGAAAUGCAUAGAUAUCGCGCAGAACUCCGAUUGCGAAGGCAGCGUACCGGCGCCACACUGACGCUGAGGCACGAAAGCGUGGGGAUCGAACAGGAUUAGAUACCCUGGUAGUCCACGCAGUAAACGAUGAAUGCUGGUUGUCCGGGUCGAAUGAGACCUGGGCGGCGAAGCGAAAGCGAUAAGCAUUCCACCUGGGGAGUACGCCGGCAACGGUGAAACUCAAAGGAAUUGACGGGGGCCCGCACAAGCGGAGGAACAUGUGGUUUAAUUCGAUGAUACGCGAGGAACCUUACCCGGGCUCAAACGGGAGUGGAAUGGACUAGAGACGGUUCAGCCUACGGGCCGCUUCCGAGGUGCUGCAUGGUUGUCGUCAGCUCGUGCCGUGAGGUGUCGGCUUAAGUGCCAUAACGAGCGCAACCCCCGCCGGCAGUUGCUAACGGGCAAUGCCGAGGACUCUGCCGGGACUGCCGCCGCAAGGCGUGAGGAAGGCGGGGAUGACGUCAAAUCAGCACGGCCCUUACGUCCGGGGCGACACACGUGUUACAAUGGGCGGUACAGCGGGAAGCCAGGCGGCGACGCCGAGCGGAACCCGAAAGCCGUUCUCAGUUCGGAUCGGAGUCUGCAACCCGACUCCGUGAAGCUGGAUUCGCUAGUAAUCGCGCAUCAGCCAUGGCGCGGUGAAUACGUUCCCGGGCCUUGCACACACCGCCCGUCAAG